GACAGAGGGUGCAAACGUUGUUCGGAAUUACUGGGCGUAAAGCGCGUGUAGGCGGCCCGGAAAGUCGGAUGUGAAAGCCCUGGGCUUAACCUAGGAAGUGCAUUCGAAACUGCUGGGCUUGAGUUCUGGAGAGGAAGGCGGAAUUCUCGGUGUAGAGGUGAAAUUCGUAGAUAUCGAGAGGAACACCGGUGGCGAAGGCGGCCUUCUGGACAGUGACUGACGCUGAGACGCGAA
rnacentral:rRNA from 1 species